rnacentral:rRNA from 1 species
AGCGUACACGGUGGAUGCCCUGGCAGUCAGAGGCGAUGAAGGACGUGCUAAUCUGCGAAAAGCGUCGGUAAGGUGAUAUGAACCGUUACAGCCGGCGAUGUCCGAAUGGGGAAACCCAGUGCAAUUCGUUGCACUAUCGUUAACUGAAUACAUAGGUUAACGAGGCGAACCGGGGGAACUGAAACAUCUAAGUACCCCGAGGAAAAGAAAUCAACCGAGAUUCCCCCAGUAGCGGCGAGCGAACGGGGAGCAGCCCAGAGUCUGAAUCAGCUUGUGUGUUAGUGGAACGGUCUGGAAAGUCCGACGGUACAGGGUGAUAGUCCCGUACACCAAAAUGCACAGGCUGUGAACUCGAAGAGUAGGGCGGGACACGUGGUAUCCUGUCUGAAUAUGGGGGGACCAUCCUCCAAGGCUAAAUACUCCUGACUGACCGAUAGUGAACCAGUACCGUGAGGGAAAGGCGAAAAGAACCCCGGCGAGGGGAGUGAAAAAGAACCUGAAACCGUGUACGUACAAGCAGUGGGAGCACCUUCGGGUGUGACUGCGUACCUUUUGUAUAAUGGGUCAGCGACUUAUAUUCUGUAGCAAGGUUAACCGUAUAGGGGAGCCGCAGGGAAACCGAGUCUUAACUGGGCGUUAAGUUGCAGGGUAUAGACCCGAAACCCGGUGAUCUAGCCAUGGGCAGGUUGAAGGUUGGGUAACACUAACUGGAGGACCGAACCGACUAAUGUUGAAAAAUUAGCGGAUGACUUGUGGCUGGGGGUGAAAGGCCAAUCAAACCGGGAGAUAGCUGGUUCUCCCCGAAAGCUAUUUAGGUAGCGCCUCGUGAAUUCAUCUUCGGGGGUAGAGCACUGUUUCGGCUAGGGGGUCAUCCCGACUUACCAACCCGAUGCAAACUACGAAUACCGAAGAAUGUUAUCACGGGAGACACACGGCGGGUGCUAACGUCCGUCGUGAAGAGGGAAACAACCCAGACCGCCAGCUAAGGUCCCAAAGUCAUGGUUAAGUGGGAAACGAUGUGGGAAGGCACAGACAGCCAGGAUGUUGGCUUAGAAGCAGCCAUCAUUUAAAGAAAGCGUAAUAGCUCACUGGUCGAGUCGGCCUGCGCGGAAGAUGUAACGGGGCUAAACCAUGCACCGAAGCUGCGGCAGCGACACUAUGUGUUGUUGGGUAGGGGAGCGUUCUGUAAGCCUGCGAAGGUGUGCUGUGAGGCAUGCUGGAGGUAUCAGAAGUGCGAAUGCUGACAUAAGUAACGAUAAAGCGGGUGAAAAGCCCGCUCGCCGGAAGACCAAGGGUUCCUGUCCAACGUUAAUCGGGGCAGGGUGAGUCGACCCCUAAGGCGAGGCCGAAAGGCGUAGUCGAUGGGAAACAGGUUAAUAUUCCUGUACUUGGUGUUACUGCGAAGGGGGGACGGAGAAGGCUAUGUUAGCCGGGCGACGGUUGUCCCGGUUUAAGCAUGUAGGCUGGUUGUCCAGGCAAAUCCGGAUAAUCAAGGCUGAGGUGUGAUGACGAGGCACUACGGUGCUGAAGUAACAAAUGCCCUGCUUCCAGGAAAAGCCUCUAAGCAUCAGGUAACAUUAAAUCGUACCCCAAACCGACACAGGUGGUCAGGUAGAGAAUACCAAGGCGCUUGAGAGAACUCGGGUGAAGGAACUAGGCAAAAUGGUGCCGUAACUUCGGGAGAAGGCACGCUGGUGUGUAGGUGAAGUCCCUGCGGAUGGAGCUGAGACCAGUCGAAGAUACCAGCUGGCUGCAACUGUUUAUUAAAAACACAGCACUGUGCAAACACGAAAGUGGACGUAUACGGUGUGACGCCUGCCCGGUGCCGGAAGGUUAAUUGAUGGGGUUAUCCGUAAGGAGAAGCUCUUGAUCGAAGCCCCGGUAAACGGCGGCCGUAACUAUAACGGUCCUAAGGUAGCGAAAUUCCUUGUCGGGUAAGUUCCGACCUGCACGAAUGGCGUAAUGAUGGCCAGGCUGUCUCCACCCGAGACUCAGUGAAAUUGAACUCGCUGUGAAGAUGCAGUGUACCCGCGGCAAGACGGAAAGACCCCGUGAACCUUUACUAUAGCUUGACACUGAACAUUGAGCCUUGAUGUGUAGGAUAGGUGGGAGGCUUUGAAGCGUGGACGCCAGUCUGCGUGGAGCCAACCUUGAAAUACCACCCUUUAAUGUUUGAUGUUCUAACGUUGGCCCCUUACCGGGGUUGCGGACAGUGUCUGGUGGGUAGUUUGACUGGGGCGGUCUCCUCCCAAAGCGUAACGGAGGAGCACGAAGGUUAGCUAAUCCUGGUCGGACAUCAGGAGGUUAGUGCAAUGGCAUAAGCUAGCUUGACUGCGAGCGUGACGGCGCGAGCAGGUGCGAAAGCAGGUCAUAGUGAUCCGGUGGUUCUGAAUGGAAGGGCCAUCGCUCAACGGAUAAAAGGUACUCCGGGGAUAACAGGCUGAUACCGCCCAAGAGUUCAUAUCGACGGCGGUGUUUGGCACCUCGAUGUCGGCUCAUCACAUCCUGGGGCUGAAGUAGGUCCCAAGGGUAUGGCUGUUCGCCAUUUAAAGUGGUACGCGAGCUGGGUUUAGAACGUCGUGAGACAGUUCGGUCCCUAUCUGCCGUGGGCGCUGGAGAAUUGAGGGGGGCUGCUCCUAGUACGAGAGGACCGGAGUGGACGCAUCACUGGUGUUCGGGUUGUCAUGCCAAUGGCACUGCCCGGUAGCUAAAUGCGGAAGAGAUAAGUGCUGAAAGCAUCUAAGCACGAAACUUGCCCCGAGAUGAGUUCU